rnacentral:rRNA from 1 species
AUGGCCGCCGUCGGUCUUCUCGGCGUGCGUCCGGCUCCGGCGCCCGGCCGCCUGGAGAGGCAGGCGGGGGCUUCACCUACCGCAGUUAGCUGGUGCUGGCGUGCCCGCCCGCGCACCCUUCGGUCCAUUCCGCCGCCCGGGGGAGCGGGGAGGGGCGGGGUAAGCGCGGCGAGGCCCGCGCGCGCCGCGAUGGGCGGCGGCGACCUGUACGCGCUCGACUUCGACGGCGUGUUCUGCGACAGCUGCGGGGAGAGCUCCCUCUCCGCCGUCAAGGCCGCCAAGGUGAGGUGGCCGUGGGCGUUUGGGCAGGUCGACGCCGCCUUGGAGGAGUUGGAGGAGCUCUCGGCUAACACUAGCAUGUCAAAGCUCCAUUUGGAAAUGCUGUGGUUUUGCAAGACUGAAUCUGUUGAUUAG